rnacentral:rRNA from 1 species
UACGUAGGGGGCGAGCGUUGUCCGAAGUUACUGGGCGUAAAGAGCGCGUAGGCUGGUCUUUAAGUGAGUGGUGAAAGGUUCGGGCUCAACCCGGACACUGCCUUUCAUACUGGGGACCUUGAGUGUGGGAGAGGCGAGUGGAAUGGUCGGUGUAGCGGUGAAAUGCGUAGAUAUCUGCAGGAACACCCGUGGCGAAGGCGGCUCGCUGGACCGCAACUGACG